rnacentral:rRNA from 1 species
UACUGACGCUAAAGCUCGAAGGUGCGGGUAUCGAACAGGAUUAGAUACCCUGGUAGUCCGCACGGUAAACGAUGGAUGCCCGCUGUUUGCGAUACACUGUGAGCGGCCAAGCGAAAGCGUUAAGCAUCCCACCUGGGGAGUACGCCGGCAACGGUGAAACUCAAAGGAAUUGACGGGGGCCCGCACAAGCGGAGGAACAUGUGGUUUAAUUCGAUGAUACGCGAGGAACCUUACCCGGGCUUGAACUGCCGGCGUACGAUACAGAGAUGUUGAGGCCCUUCGGGGCGCCGGUGGAGGUGCUGCAUGGUUGUCGUCAGCUCGUGCCGUGAGGUGUCGGCUUAAGUGCCAUAACGAGCGCAACCCCUCUCCGUAGUUGCCAUCGGGUGAUGCCGGGCACUCUGCGGACACUGCCACCGUAAGGUGUGAGGAAGGUGGGGAUGACGUCAAAUCAGCACGGCCCUUACGUCCGGGGCUACACACGUGUUACAAUGGGUGGUACAGAGGGCAGGCGGCCGGCGACGUCCGUCGAAUCCUAAAAGCCAUCCUCAGUUCGGACUGGGGUCUGCAACCCGACCCCACGAAGCUGGAUUCGCUAGUAAU